ensembl:lncRNA
CAAAGAGGACCGAAUCUGACAAAUGAGAUCCGCGCAACACUGGUUGACCACGUUGUCAACCACGGCCUGACGCUGAGGGAGGCUGGACUGCGAGUACAGCCAAAUCUAAGCCGAUAUACAGUGGCAAGUGUGAUGAGAACAUUUCGACUGGAAAAUAGGUCUCAACAUCAACACUGGCACGCAUCCUAAAAAAGAAACAUAUUCAAAUGAAGCAAAUUUAUCGAGUGCCUUUCGAGCGCAAUUCCGAAAGGGUAAAACGACUGCGGCAUGAUUAUGCAGAGAGUUUUUCUCGGCAUGGCGGUGGAAGAUAUAUGAUCUCCGUCUCCAGGCUGAGGUACCCCUCAUCCAAGCCAUGGAGGAGGCCUGUGAC